UACGAAGGGGGCUAGCGUUGCUCGGAAUCACUGGGCGUAAAGGGUGCGUAGGCGGGUCUUUAAGUCAGGGGUGAAAUCCUGGAGCUCAACUCCAGAACUGCCUUUGAUACUGAGGAUCUUGAGUUCGGGAGAGGUGAGUGGAACUGCGAGUGUAGAGGUGAAAUUCGUAGAUAUUCGCUAGAACACCAGUGGCGAAGGCGGCUCACUGGCCCGAUACUGACGCUGAGGCACGAAAGCGUGGGGAGCAAACAGG
rnacentral:rRNA from 1 species